AUCCCAGCUACUAUGAAAACACCUGCCCAGCUGCGCCGGGGGCGCCCACACGGCCCAGGCCUGGAGCUCCAGGCCCAGCACUCACGGCUCCGCACACCCCAAGGACCAGGGAGCGCUGCGCCCUCACACCCACUCCCCUGGGAAAGAGCGCAGUGUCCGUAAGGCCGUGAAGCUCAGGCCCUGGCCCAGCCCCGGGCCCAGCCCCCUCCCUCCGCACCCCUCCUCCUCGGCCGCGGGCCGGGAGGAGGGGGUCGGGAGCGCGGCUCCGAGGAUCAGGUGCCGGGUUCCCCUCUCCGCUCCUGUCAAUCAGAGGCCGAGGCAGUAGUCCUGUCGUACACCGGGGCGGGCCUCCACGUGACGGGAAGCGGCGGCGGGGCCCGGACGGAGCCCCUGGGGGAGCUGCGGAGCCAACCCGGAGCCGGGGCCGGGCGGGGCCCAGCAGUCCCGGGCCUUGGCAGCUGCCAGAGCGUGCGGGAGGCUGGGCGGGCGGCGGAACGCGGCUCGGUGCGGCGCGGACCGAGGAGGCCUAGGGUGGGCGAGCGCCGGGAGCUUUCCAGAAACAUGGACAGAAGGCUUAGUUUUCAGGCACCUGUACUUAUCAACAUUGCAGCCAGAACUUAGACUCACCUGUAUGAAAUCUCCUUUCGCUGCACUUGUCCACAAAGUUGACCAGGGCCUGUGGAUUACCUGCAGCCCACAAGGAUUCCAUGUAGUCAUUAUUAAUGUUAGUUUUGUAGGUUGAAAUUUAACUGAGUGCAGGGUUGAUCACUUUUGAAAUUACUGCACUGUGACAGAUUUCAUCUGUUUGUUUCUGGGGAAGUCAUGAUGUUAGCAUUAUUGUAUCUGGCAGAUUAAAGCACUGAUAAAUCGUGUGUGAGCAUAGUAGUACUAUAAUGUGAGAUGUUUUAUUUGUAGGUCAGAAUUGAUGUCUGAGAACUGGCCCUGAGCCCAAAUGAAGCCUAAAGUUGGUGCCCAUUACUCUUUUGUAGUUUUUGUGCUUCCUCUUUCAUAGUUAGACCAAAGUAUGAAGACAUCAGAGUUUUACUACAAAACAAGGGGGAAAAAACAUUUGGACAGUUUUUGUCCUUUUCUGCUUGCUGAGUCUACUUCCUUUGCCUCUUCUCUCCAAAACACCCAUUGAAGCCAGUCCUUUUUGGCUCAGCAUUUUUUUUUUUUAAGCAGCUGCAGUGGUGUGGAAAGAUCAUUGGUUUAGGAAGUCAGAGACUUGGGUUUUAACACUGAUUCUUAGACUAAAACAGUGACCUUGGAAAAACAAUCAGUUUAUCUUUGGGCCUCUUUUAAUUAUCUUUAAAGUUAGGAAAUUGAGCUGGAAGACCUCUAGGUUUUCUUCCAGUACAAGACUUCUUCAUUUCUGUGUGCUUUGAGUGCUAUCUUUGACAGUACGUGAUCUAUAUUUCUGAAUAAGUUCGCUUGUGGAUCCUCUCACCUAAUUUCUGUUUAGGCAAUGGUAAGUUUGAAUAGAAAUCAUAACAACAUGCUUAGCUUUCAUUCAUUCUUCUGUGUCAUUUUCAGUCAUGGAUUUAUUUCUAAGAUAGUUUUAAUCCAACUUUAAGAUAAUGUGAUGAUCAGAGAUCAUCUAAUUCAACCUCUCAUUCUAGGC
ensembl:lncRNA